GGAGGGUGUGGGCUGAAAUCCCUCUGCCCUAAGCCUGAGCUUCAGGGGAGCUCAGUUGGUUCUACUUGAAUCUCAUUCUUGAUCCAGUGGACUGAGGCAUGCUGGCUUUUCUGGAAAAGCCACAUGCAUCAGCUGUGGUCACUUCUAGUCACAUUGAGGACCAUGGCAACAGCAGGCUUGCAGCAAGCUUCAGCGUUGCUCUCUGAGGGAAGCUGCCUGCCAUGAGAUGUCUGGGGAUUUAUCUGGCUGUGGCUCAGCUCACUCACAUGCUUGGUCUCCUCUCCCACAUCUGCUUCCUUUCCCACCUCAUGCUUGGCACCUUCUGCUUCUGGCUGGUGAGCACAGAGGCUCUGUGAGAGCCAAUUUGCAGUUCUCCAGGUUCAGGCUGAAGCCAGUCACAAAUACUAGGAGGAACCAAGGCAGCUCUGCUUUCUCCACCAUCAACAGCAGUGCAGUCUUUUGCUGAGAACCCAGACGUGCAAUUAAAGCUAAUGUGAACUUCGCUGAGGCAAUUAUGUUUUUCCAGGGUUAGUAUUUUUCAGAUCUCCUGAACCAUCCUGGAGGUUAUAACUGGCAUAAUAUGAAACUUGGAAAAGCUGCUGAUAUAGAAAAUUCUAACAGCACUCCUCAAGACAGGACACAGCACCCAUCUGUGACAAGCAUGAUCAGGAGCCUGAGUCAAUUAUGAGAUCACUCUGAAUUUACACCAAAUGCAACAAGAGUGAGAGAACAGCUGCCACUAGGUUUUCUCAUGUGAGGUGAAAAUGUUUUGAAGCUGCUUUAUGUCCCCAGGAGGAUGAGCAUUCAUGGCAAGAAAUGAAGAAGUCAGAAAGGUCCAGCUUCCAGCUGAAACAGCAGCAGCAAGACCAACUGCAUCUCCAAAUAAGUGGCCUGAUACACCAGAACAGAAGAUUUGCCAUCCAGUUCCUCCAUCUGUACCCUGGUCCAAAAUGAAAAUAAUCUGCACUAGUGGACAGUGAAGAGAGCUUGGGAACUGAACUUGUGAUAUUCAUAGAGUGGUGAUUGUUCUGCAAUGAAAGCCUUGGAUUCACACUCUGCUGAUGCAGGCUGGGGCACCUCAGGGACUGCAGCCUUCAGCUAUCUGCCUUGCCCCUUUGCUGCAGGUUACCGGCUCUGCAGCAAAGAUAAUUUGCUGCAGAGACACAUCUUCUUACACAUUAUUGUAAGUACCAGUUUGCAGUUUAUCUUUAAAUGCCAGGCUGUGGACUGAGGCCGCUGGAUCAUGAUCUGACCUAUGGAGCCCUACCCAACCUUUGUCCUCCCCUCUUCCCUUAUCACUGCCAUCUGGGAAGAAAACUUGCCCCAAAAUGUUGCUUUUUUGCUUAAAAAAGAUGGUCAGAGGUAGAUCCAUGUGGCAACGAUCAGCCUCUGAGUUUCUACUGCUCUCACGUUUGAAACUAGCCUGACCAAGCUCAGUGAGGUGCUGGAGACUUAACUGCACAGAAAAGUUAGUUUGCUGUGCCUGAGCCAUUUCUAACCAUCUCCUGACCUGGGCAUUUUAUUGUGCACUGAGCGAGAUGCAGAGGGCUGGCCAGCUGGCACUAAGGUACUUGCAGGGCACCUUCACCUGUCCCUUGUCUACCGCUGGCACUUCUGUGGCACCAUGGUUUCCUCAUGUUGGCAAGCCACCUGCCACAGCUUAUUCAAAUAACAGCAAUUGUCUUUUUAAAUCUUAUGCCUGCCGAUUUCCAAAGUAGGGUCCUACUUGGAGAAGGAAAGGCUGGGGGGAAAAGAUCAUUGAAAGCAGAAGUGAGAACUCUUUAAAAACAGGAGAAUAAAAAUAAAAGGGAGAAGUAAUAAUAGGAGAAAUGUGAUGCAGCUCCCACUUGCUAGCAAUGAAAAUCAUACCUGAGGGCCAUAACUUCCUCAAGGCCUUGAUGCUGAGAAGCAGACAGUGCGUUGAGCUAUUGAAUAAGGUGAGGAUAGCAAAAAGGAAAAGCUAAAAGGAGGCAUUGAAAAUGGAUGAUGUAGGUACCCGAGACAAACACAUUGAAACAGGGGGGUGUGAGAAUGGUGAAUCACCUCCAACGGGUUAUAAUAUGAGAGGAUGUUACCUACAUGACCUUUGCCUCAGCUCCUCGAAAUUCCUGUAAAUUAAUCUGCAGUCCAACAAUGAUGUGAAUCAAACACAUUAUUUAUGGCCUUGCAAUUUCUCUGAAGAGUCACAUACACUGAAGUGGGUUGUUUCAAAAACUGUGGCCCAAUUUUUAUGUACGUUUGUCCUAAAUGAAUGCUAUUUAGGAUAUCAUGCUAAAGAAUGUGAGUUCAAGGGUUAGGGUGUGUAGGAGAGUUCUUUGUAACUGGCGCUGAAGUCUUGUGGAUAUUUUUGUGUUGGACAGUUGCUUUCCGCCAUGAACAUUGCACCUCUCAAGAAAUGUGCAAAAUAAAGUAUGGCAGCAGAACAAAAUAUUUUAUAGGCAAAGUGACCUUCCGUAAUAAUGGAAUAAUAAACACAGAAGGGGGAAAGGCUAAGUGCAAAUGCUGAAAUGCAUUCACAAGUGCAUUUGUACCGCUUCUGCAGCUGCUGGAGUGUCACUUGCUCAUGUGAAUUCAUUCAGUGAAGCAUUUGAAGUCAAUCACUGUAUUAGGAAAGUGGGCAUCCAGCAUACCUCUGAGCAGUGAGCUUAUACACUUCAUUGCUACUUUGCUGCCAGCAAUUACUGUUUAUCAAUUAAUAUUACGAAAGGAUUAAAAUGGAUGAUGGAAAAAACAGUCUGUUAUUUGCAGCAAGAAAGUCACAAAGCUGUCAUAAGGCUUGGAGUGAGUCCUUGGAAGGGGUUACUAGUGCAGUAGUGUUCUUUGUGUUUCGAUUUGGGACAGGAGGAUUUGGCCUUGACUGAUAGUGAACUGCGCUGUGCUGUUGCUGGAGAAGGACGUUGUGUUACUUCUAUCGGACUCUCUGUACCUGUUUGUUUUCACUGUCUGUUGAAGUCUCUGUUUGGGAGAAAGACUGGCAUUUAUCAUGAGUUUGUGCAGUGUUGAGCUUUCUUGCUAGCUGAAGUCUCUGUAGCCUUUUGCAAAAUAAAUAACACUGCUGCUGCACAGAAAAGAUGGAACUGUUUUUUAAUAUUAAAGAUCUGUAGUGGUACGUGACAUGGCUCUUCAUCAGUCAGACCUCAACUGCACAUACAACACAGCAGUUGAAUUGAUUAAAAUAGGCCACUUUUAUCAAAUAUUAACCUGUGUAGAACACAAGUUGACUGAAAAUCUGGUGCAUGUUAAAGAAGUUUUGCAGCCUGUAGAAAGAGUAAGCAGCCUAUGGUUUGUGCAAUGUCCAGUGAUGUUAUUACUUACAAAUCAAACCAGAUGGUGAACUGGGUAAAUCACAAUGCAGUGAGUUUCUUCACAAGGCUGGGUUUAUUAAUAAUAGCUGUGCUGGAGUUGUAUCAGGAGACCCUAAAUGAAAUUGGAGCUAAAAUAUAUGUUAUCUACAAAAACACAGAGAAGAAAAUAUCUGUCUUGGAGAACUUAUAGCUUAAACUAACAAGGUCAAAAAUAUAGAACAAAAGAAAAGGAAAGAAAGAGAAAGAAUAGGAAAUGCAUUCCUGAAGCUGAUAUAGAUCACCCACAGUUUUAUGGUGGAUUAAGGGCUCAGGGUUGAGUCAAAACUUGAGAGUCCCAAUUUCCUGACUGCCCAGCUCUAUCCUUUCAAAAGGAGGAAAACAAAAUGAGUAGAAAAGAUAUUGAUCCUUAAAUAUGGUUGAAACAAGUAGGAGGUUUUAUCAUAACAUGCUAAUCUGAUGACAGAUGUAAGGAAUGUCACUGUGUGGUGGAAAAGAGACAUAGCAUGCAGCAAACAACUCUAUUAUGUCUUGAAAAAAUGAUUAGAAUUCCUCUGCUGUCUUCUCCAAGGACUUCUUUUAGUGGCUCUCCAUUCAGCAAAAUCCUGCCGGGCAUCUGAACUCAGAGCUGCGAUGGAUUCAAGCUCUCUUGCCAUUUCUGCUAACCUCUCUUCAGUCACUGUGGAUAAGCUGCCAGUGUUAGAUAUUUACCCUAUCAACAGAGAGAUUUCUGCUCAUUUCCAUGAGUGGUGAAUUGAGCACUGGGAAUGGAGGGUGAAAACCCCACUUGGUCACUCCUCCUGUUGGUAGCAAUGCUGUGGUAAGCUUUCCUCUCUGUUAAAUUGCUCUGCAGCAGGUUCAGGAGUAACCAUGGUGAGAACUGUGCAGGUUCCUUGGUGUUAAAAUUGAUGUGCAGAACUUCUUAUCAAAAUCAAUGAGAGUACUAGGAAUAAAUAAAUGAUAAAGCUAGGAAGUACCACUGCAGUUGUUCCAUGCUGAAGAUCAUCUAACUCCCUUGAACUCCUGCUUAAAGUAAUAAAAGUGAAGUUUGGCUUGGACCACAUUAUGAACAAAAUGCCUAGUUUGAUUUAAACAUUUAUAGUUAGGACCAAUCUCUGACAGCCACUGGGCAGCUUUAAUGAAUAACUGCUUUCACUGAGACAGGACAGAAGCUGUGUUUCCAUCUGCAGCUUGCUGAGCUUCAGCAUUGCAUUGCUUUUUUUUUUUUUUUUUUUUUUAACUUGUAAAACUUUUAGCUCUUCCCAAGUUUUUCUCCUUCAAACAAUGUAAUGAAAUUGCUUCUGGACUUUAUUGUUCAUGAACUCCUGAAGAGGUGUUUUAUAGGCAUGCUAAAGUAUAGAUCAGCAAGUAAAUGAUAGUAAAACCAGUUUUUAAAGAUGUGUUUUUCUUUGUAGAAGUAAAAUAGGUUAAUGGCAUGAACACUCUGAGAGCCAUUCUUGACCUCUUCAUUUUCCUGCUUUUAUCUGCUUGGAUUUCAUAAUUGGUGUGAUGAUUAUAAAUAUUGUUA